rnacentral:rRNA from 1 species
GCGUAAAGCGCACGCAGGGCGGUCUGUCAAGUCGGAUGUGAAAUCCCCGGGCUCAACCUGGGAACUGCAUUCGAAACUGGCAGGCUAGAGUCUUGUAGAGGGGGGUAGAAUUCCAGGUGUAGCGGUGAAAUGCGUAGAGAUCUGGAGGAAUACCGGUGGCGAAGGCGGCCCCCUGGACAAAGACUGACGCUCAGGUGCGAAAGCGUGGGGAGCAAACAGGAUUAGAUACCCUGGUAGUCCACGCCGUAAACGAUGUCGACUUGGAGGUUGUGCCCUUGAGGCGUGGCUUCCGGAGCUAACGCGUUAAGUCGACCGCCUGGGGAGUACGGCCGCAAGGUUAAAACUCAAAUGAAUUGACGGGGGCCCGCACAAGCGGUGGAGCAUGUGGUUUAAUUCGAUGCAACGCGAAGAACCUUACCUACUCUUGACAUCCAGAGAACUUAGCAGAGAUGCUUUGGUGCCUUCGGGAACUCUGAGACAGGUGCUGCAUGGCUGUCGUCAGCUCGUGUUGUGAAAUGUUGGGUUAAGUCCCGCAACGAGCGCAACCCUUAUCCUUUGUUGCCAGCGGUUAGGCCGGGAACUCANAGGAGACUGCCAGUGAUAAACUGGAGGAAGGUGGGGGAUGACCGUCAGUCAUCAUGGCCCUUACGAGUAGGGCUACACACGUGCUACAAUGGCGCAUACAAAGAGAAGCGACCUCGCGAGAG